ACCUGCGGAGGGAUCAUUACAAGUGACCCCGGUCUAACCACCGGGAUGUUCAUAACCCUUUGUUGUCCGACUCUGUUGCCUCCGGGGCGACCCUGCCUUCGGGCGGGGGCUCCGGGUGGACACUUCAAACUCUUGCGUAACUUUGCAGUCUGAGUAAACUUAAUUAAUAAAUUAAAACUUUUAACAACGGAUCUCUUGGUUCUGGCAUCGAUGAAGAACGCAGCGAAAUGCGAUAAGUAAUGUGAAUUGCAGAAUUCAGUGAAUCAUCGAAUCUUUGAACGCACAUUGCGCCCCCUGGUAUUCCGGGGGGCAUGCCUGUUCGAGCGUCAUUUCACCACUCAAGCCUCGCUUGGUAUUGGGCAUCGCGGUCCGCCGCGUGCCUCAAAUCGACCGGCUGGGUCUUCUGUCCCCUAAGCGUUGUGGAAACUAUUCGCUAAAGGGUGUUCGGGAGGCUACGCCGUAAAACAACCCCAUUUCUAAGGUUGACCUCGGAUCAGGUAGGGAUACCCGCUGAACUUAAGCAUAUCA
rnacentral:rRNA from 1 species